GUCUACGGCCACACCAUUUUGAAUGCACCUGAUCUUGUCUAAUCUCGUAAGCUAAGAGGGUCAGACCUGGUUAGGACUUGGAUGGGAGACUGCUGGGGACUACCAGGUACUGUAGGCU
rnacentral:rRNA from 1 species